rnacentral:rRNA from 1 species
GCCUGCGAGUCGUUGUAGCAAUACAAGGCGGACGGCUCAGUAACACGUAGUCAACCUCACCUAUGGACGUGGAUAACCUCGGGAAACUGAGAAUAAACCGCGAUAGAUCAUAAUGCCUGGAAUGGCUUAUGGUCCAAACAAUUUAUUGCCGUAGGAUGGGACUGCGGCCUAUCAGCUUGUUGGUGAGGUAGUGGCCCACCAAGGCUAUAACAGGUACGGGCUCUGAGAGGAGAAGCCCGGAGAUGGGUACUGAGACACGGACCCAGGCCCUAUGGGGCGCAGCAGGCGAGAAACCUUAGCAAUGUGCGAAAGCACGACUAGGUUAAUCCGAGUGGUUCCUGCUAAAGGAACCUUUUGUCAGUCGUAAAACCACAGAUGAAUAAGGGGUGGGCAAGUCUGGUGUCAGCCGCCGCGGUAAUACCAGCACCUCGAGUGGUCAGGAGGUUUAUUGGGCCUAAAGCAUCCGUAGCCGGCUAUGCAAGUCUCCGGUUAAAUCCAACUGCUCAACAGAUGGGCUGCCGGAGAUACUACAUAGCUAGGGAGCGGGAGAGGAAGACGGUAUUCGGUGGGUAGGGGUAAAAUCCACUGAUCCAUCGAGGACCACCAGUGGCGAAGGCGGUCUUCCAGAACGCGUUCGACGGUGAGGGAUGAAAGCUGGGGGAGCAAACCGGAUUAGAUACCCGGGUAGUCCCAGCUGUAAACGAUGCAAACUCGGUGAUGCGUUGGCUUAUGGCCAACGCAGUGCCGCAGGGAAGCCGUUAAGUUUGCCGCCUGGGGAGUACGGACGCAAGUCUGAAACUCA